rnacentral:rRNA from 1 species
ACUCAAAUGAAUUGACGGGGGCCCGCACAAGCGGUGGAGCAUGUGGCUUAAUUCGAUGCAACGCGAAGAACCUUACCUGGACUUGACAUGCUGGUAGUAGAAGCCUGAAAGGGUGACGAUUCCGCAAGGAAAGCCAGCACAGGUGCUGCAUGGCUGUCGUCAGCUCGUGCCGUGAGGUGUUAGGUUAAGUCCUGCAACGAGCGCAACCCCUGUGGUUAGUUGCUAAGUGUCGUGAUGAACGAUGCAGCACUCUAAUCAGACUGCCUGUGAUAAGCAGGAGGAAGGUGGGGAUGACGUCAAGUCAGUAUGGUCCUUAUGUCCAGGGCUGCACACGUGCUACAAUGAACGGUACAGAAGGAUGCAAGACCGCGAGGUGGAGCAAAUCCCCAAACCCGUUCACAGUUCAGAUUGAAGUCUGCAACUCGACUUCAUGAAGCUGGAAUCGCUAGUAAUGGCGCAUCAGCUACGGCGCCGUGAAUACGUUCCCGGGCCUUGCACACACCGCCCGU